rnacentral:rRNA from 1 species
CCUACGGGAGGAAGCAGUAGGGAAUUUUCCACAAUGGGCGAAAGCCUGAUGGAGCAACGCCGCGUGGGUGAAGAAGGUCUUCGGAUCGUAAAACCCUGUUGUUAGAGAAGAAAGUGCGUGAGAGUAACUGUUCACGUUUCGACGGUAUCUAACCAGAAAGCCACGGCUAACUACGUGCCAGCAGCCGCGGUAAUACGUAGGUGGCAAGCGUUAUCCGGAUUGAUUGGGCGUAAAGGGAACGCAGGCGGUCUUUUAAGUCUGAUGUGAAAGCCUUCGGCUUAACCGGAGUAGUGCAUUGGAAACUGGGAGACUUGAGUGCAGAAGAGGAGAGUGGAACUCCAGGUGUAGCGGUGAAAUGCGGAGAUAUAUGGAAGAACACCAGUGGCGAAAGCGGCUCUCUGGUCUGUAACUGACGCUGAGGUUCGAAAGCGUGGGUAGCAAACAGGAUUAGAUACCCCUGUAGUC